GUGAUUGACAUUUUCUUAUUUGUUAUUUUUUGGUGAAGUAUAUAUAAGCAUUCACAAUGGGUGGUGCCCAAAAGAAGCUCCAUCACUAUUUUUCGAUACCAUUUCGAUAUAUCUAUAAAUCCUUUACACUUAUUAUAAUCGACAAUUCAAGAUGGUUUUUUAACCACUCCUCUCUGAUUGACUUCAACAAUUUCAACAAUAUGUUUUGUACAAGAAUACGCUUGUUCUUCCACUUUGUCACGACCACUCCUGUAUUGGUCUCCCUACCAGUUAUCUCUCCUUUUUUUAGUUUUGCACAAGUAACUUUUUUUGGAUUUAGUUUUCUGUUCUGUCUCAAGGUUCCAAUUAAAUUUUCUCUCUAAUAAACUAUGCGCUACAUUCACACUGGUAUAAAAGUAAUCUGUAUAAAUAGUGCGUCCAACGUCUAAUAAAUUUUCCGCUAAACCAAAAACAACAGAUUCUGUGACAGAUUUAUUUUGAUCUUGUCAUUUCCGUAAUAUAUUUGAAGGUCAUAAGUAUAACCACCAUUCAAGCAAAGUUUAUAUAAUUUUACGUGCGUUUUUUCGAAAAAUUGGCAGCACUAUAUAUUCUACGUUGAUUAGUUAACCUGCCAACUACAAAUGUGUAAUACUAAUCCUUAUUUUAUACGAUGAGAAUAACAGCUAACUCCCGCCGACUCAAAUCCACUUUGUAAACACAGCCAAGUCCACACAGCCAUGUGCAUUUUUAAUGGUGAUCUUGUGAGAACGUGUCGCAAUUGAGUUUAAUGUGCAUUAUUUUAAGUUACUUCUAGUAUUUUGGGCGUUUGAAAUAUUUUUUUAUUUAAUAACACAAGAGAUGUCACGUGCCAAACGAAUCCUUGAUCUGGCCAUCGGCCAAACAGCAAAUGAAACCGAAGACUCAGAGCUGGGAGAAGACUCUGAGUAUAAUACUUGGGAUUAUUCUUUUGGGGAAAGCAGUGGUGUAGACUCAAUUCCCCUGUCGUUGGAGUUACCAAUGGAUAUAUUAGACUCUCCCAUAAAAGAAAAUCAACCCUUUGAAAACUUCCAAAUAGCCGAAAAUGUGCAAAUUGAUUUUAUUGACGAAAAUGGGCAAAAAUUAGAUAAUUGUGAAUAAGUUAUUGUACUGAAUGAAAUUCGUUUACUGGACAACUUAAAUGAAGCUCCUCGUGCUUAUACAUCAGGAAUCAAUCAUAUUAAAUAAGAAUCCAAUAUAGAAUCUACAAUUUCUGAUAUUUCCGAUGACGCAGCUAGCAGGUUGGUACCAUAUUCGGAUUCCGACUCAGGCUCAUCUUAUAGUUAUCCGACAAAAAGUAAAAAACGUAAAAAGCGCUUUCAACUCCAAGAAUUUGUGAACAAUGUGGUUUACUGGAAAAAAUAGAAAGUUAAGAGAAAGGGGUCAAAGUUACUUGAGACGAAACAAACAAAAUGGAAAAUGGAUCUAUAACAAUCCAAAAAAACCUCGUACAAUGAAGGAAAGGUGAAAAUUUAAACUAAACCCUAAAGGAAUGUUAAAAUACUCUGCAGUAAAUGAAGGUCAAAGGCAACUUAUUCUUAACAACUUUUGGAAAAUGACUUGGGCGUAAAAAAAAGUUUAUGUAAACACUCUUGUCUUUUCUAUGCCACCAAGGAGAAGAAAACCUUAGAGUUUGUAGGGCAAUGUUCAUUACCACUUUAGGAAUAGUUCGCUGGACGAUACUCCAUUGAAAACGGUCUUUUCAUUCCCGUUCGCCUAAUGUUCAAAGAGAAACGUCCAUGGAAGGUCAAAAGAAGCCAUUCGAAUUGCGUCGGGAAUGUUUACUGCAAUUUUUAAAAUCAUUGCCAGUCAUGGAGCCUCAUUACUGCAGAUCAACAUCAGAAAAAAAAAACCUUUUAGCUGAGUGGCAAUCUAAACAAAGUCUUUAUGAUUUUUACAUCAAUAAUUGGUGCGAAUCAAAAAAUGUGGAGCCGCUUUUUAUAGCAACAUUUUCCAAGGCUUUUGAAGAAAAAAAUUAUACCAUUUUUCACCCGAAAAAAGAUCAAUGCGAAAAAUGCGUUAGUUACAAGGUUGGCGACAUCUCGGAAGAUGAAUACAAGAGUCACAUACAAAAGAAAAAUGCGGCAAGGGAGGAAAAGGAAAAGGAUAAAAAUACACAAAAAUAUUAUGUAUUUACAGUGGAUUUGCAAGCUGUGCUAAUGUGUCCCGUAUCUAAAGUGUCUACUUUAUAUUAUAAAACAAAACUUCAAGUGCACAAUCUUUGUUUUUAUAAUUUAAUGAAUUCAGA
rnacentral:lncRNA from 1 species